rnacentral:rRNA from 1 species
CCUACGGGAGGCUGCAGUGGGGAAUAUUGGACAAUGGGGGGAACCCUGAUCCAGCCAUGCCGCGUGUGUGAAGAAGGCCCUCGGGUUGUAAAGCACUUUCAGUGAGGAAGAACGCCUGGUGGUUAAUACCCAUCAGGAAAGACAUCACUCACAGAAGAAGCACCGGCUAACUCCGUGCCAGCAGCCGCGGUAAUACGGAGGGUGCGAGCGUUAAUCGGAAUUACUGGGCGUAAAGCGCGCGUAGGUGGCUUGAUAAGCCGGUUGUGCAAGCCCCGGGCUCAACCUGGGAACGGCAUCCGGAACUGUCAAGCUAGAGUGCAGGAGAGGAAGGUAGAAUUCCCGGUGUAGCGGUGAAAUGCGUAGAGAUCGGGAGGAAUACCAGUGGCGAAGGCGGCCUUCUGGAUUGACACUGACACUGAGGUGCGAAAGCGUGGGUAGCAAACAGGAUUAGAUACCCCAGUAGUC